GGUCUCCGGCCAUUCUUCUCAUCUCCCUCCGUGCUGUCCUGCGUUUCCUUGCGUUUAGAGGGGAGGGGAGGGGAGGGGAGGUUGGUGAGGGCGGCGGCGGUGGCCACCGCGUUCGUCGUCAAUUCAGUUGCAUCGGAUCGGAUCUCGGUUGGAGAUUGAUUGAUUUCGUUCCCGCACCGCCGCCAAUCCAUCACCCACACCACGGCUGCUGCGGCGGAGGCCAUGCCGGCGCGUUUGGCGGCGGAGAUCGCCGCGCUCCCGGAGCCGCGCGGGCCCAUGCGCCGCCUCUGCGGUGACCUCGCGCGCCGCAUCCGCCUCCUUGCGCCCCUCCUCCAGCAGGACCAGCUCCAGGACGCCUUGCCUCUCGCCGACGCACUCGGGGCCGCGCGCGACCUCCUCCGCGCAGUUCACGACGGCAGCAAGAUCUACCAGGCGAUGCGAGGGGAUGGCAUGCUCGAUCGCUUCGCAAGCGUCAACAGCCAGAUUCAGCUGGCCCUGGAUGCCUUGCCCUACCACACCUUCGACAUGCCUGAAGAAGUGCAGGAGCAGGUCGCGCUUGUGCAUUCUCAGUUCAAAAGGGCUGCAACCAGAAUGGAUCCACCAGACGCGCAGCUCUCAAAGGAUAUAUCCUCCGCUCUCGCUGACAAGACCUUUGACCCUCUGGUCUUCACAAGGAUCUCAGAGAAGUUGCAACUGCAGACUAUGGCCGAUAUCAAGAAAGAAUCCGUCGCCCUGCAUGAGAUGGUCAUCUCCAGUGGCGGCGAACCUGAUGGAUGUGUUGAGGAGAUGUCUUCCUUGCUCAAGAAGCUCAAAGACUGUGUCAUCACUGAACCUCCCGCACCAGAGGCGCUCGGUGCCAGCUUUGCCUCCAUAAAUCACAGAUCUCCUAUCAUCCCCGAUGAAUUCAGAUGCCCGAUAUCCCUUGAGCUCAUGCAAGACCCUGUCAUCGUUUCUAGUGGGCAGACAUAUGAGCGACCGUGCAUCCAGAAAUGGCUUGAUUCUGGACACAAGACAUGCCCUAAGACGCAGCAGCCCCUCUCACAUACUUCACUGACACCAAACUUUGUCCUCAAAAGCCUAAUAGCUCAGUGGUGUGAAGCCAACGGCAUUGAGCUUCCGAAGAACAAAGCAAAUUCCCAAGAUAAGAAAGCAGCAAAAAGCUCUGACUAUGACCAUGCUGGUCUAGUCUCACUGAUGACAAGGCUGAGGGGUGGGAACCAAGAUGAGCAGCGGGCUGCUGCUGGUGAGAUACGUUUGCUUGCGAAGAGAAAUGUCAACAACAGGAUAUGCAUUGCUGAAGCAGGAGCAAUUCCCUUGCUUGUCAAUCUACUCUCCUCUUCGGAUCCAAGAACGCAGGAACAUGCUGUCACAGCGCUCCUUAACCUCUCCAUCCAUGAGAACAACAAGGCAAGCAUUGUGGGCUCUCAUGCUAUCCCUAAGAUUGUGGAAGUGCUCAAAACUGGGAGCAUGGAAGCCAGAGAGAACGCAGCCGCCACACUAUUCAGCUUGUCAGUUGUAGAUGAAAACAAGGUUACAAUUGGUGGUGCUGGCGCAAUACCUCCACUCAUUAAUCUUCUGUGCGAUGGGAGCCCACGAGGCAAGAAAGAUGCAGCAACGGCAAUUUUUAAUCUGUGCAUAUACCAGGGAAAUAAGAUCCGGGCAGUAAAAGCUGGAAUCGUCAUCCAUUUGAUGAACUUCUUGGUGGAUCCUACUGGGGGAAUGACUGAUGAGGCGCUCACUCUUUUGGCUAUUCUUGCUGGUAACCCUGAAGCCAGGGCUGUAAUUGCGCAGUCGGAUCCAAUCCCCCCACUUGUGGAGGUAAUUAAAACAGAGUCUCCUCGCAAUAGAGAGAACGCUGCAGCCAUUCUGUGGUCGCUUUGUUGUGCUGAUGUUGAGCAAACAAAGGCUGCAAAAGUUGCUGGAGCAGAGGAUGCACUCAAGGAACUGUCGGAGUCUGGCACGGACCGUGCAAAGAGAAAAUCUUCUAGCAUUCUGGAACUCAUGCGGCAAGCUGAAGAAGCAUGAAGCUGACCAUAGUAGAUUUGCUGGAAUUGAGGUUUCAUGCUUGCAAAUCAAUUCCCCUUUAUGGAACAUUUCAAUACGUUAGAACCGGGAAAUUACGGAUUGAAGCUUCGGCUGCAUAAUAAGAGAAAGGAAACCGUUAAGUUUUUUGAUGGCUCUGCUCUUUGCUUGGUACUUUGGUGGCUUCAUCUGAAGGGAUGCAAUAAAACUGAGGUGUUUGGGGUUGCAGCAGCGAGCCUCAGCCCUGAGGUGGCAUUAGGAUGGGUCAUAUUGCCGAGCCUGCCGGCGCUGUAGUGAUCGGCUGCAAAGUGCUGCCGAUCUUCAACGAGCAUGGCAUAGUUGAGGGUGCAGUGAAGAAGAUGGUGCACAGGAUCGACGGCAAGAAGGCAGUUGCACGGGUGAAGGAGCUUCUGAAGCUGGCUGCUCAGGCCAGACCUCAUGGCGCCACUUUCAGUGGCAAGAAAUGGAAGAAGGUUCUGAGUUUCCACGCAAGGGACGGUGCUGCAGCUGCAAAGGGAGGGCGGCACCAGGAAAAGAAGCAGCAGCAGGAGGCGAGCGACGAGAUGAGCUGCAGCUCGAGCAAGCUGAGCUUCAAGUGGGACGCGGGCAGCUGCUCGUCAGCGUCGUCGGUUGCAUAUUCACCGUUGUCGUUGAUGUCGGCGCCGGCAAAGGCGUCGGAGCAAACGCCAUCGAGGAAAGACUACUACGCGUCGAGGCUGUCGUCCAUGAGCCAGCAGAGUAUGCUGUGCGGCGGCAGCCCAAAGAGCAUGAAGAACAUGGAAGGAGAGGAGGUGGAGGAGGACGCGUGCAGCUGCAGGAUGGGGCAGUGGAUCACCACGGAUUCAGACUCCAACCAAGGAGUAAACGCAGGCGCGUUGAUUCAGGCGAGAAGGCGGCGGGAGCUCGGCGAUGUAGGCGGCGGCGUCAGCUAGGAAGGAGGCCUUGUCCAUGCGCGACACGGUGGAGACGGCGGCCCUGAGGUCGCAGAAUCGGCGGUUGAGCUUCUCCCGGCGCUGCUGCUCGGCCUCUGCGCUGCUGUCCAUGGAGUAUUCCGGCAGCACGCAAGACAUUCUUCAUGUUUCAGUCACCAAACAUUAGCACAGCCAUCCAUUAGUGCCCGCCGCGUGCUAGCCCCGUUGAUGCAGGCACCAAGCUAUGAGGACGGGUUCAUGGACAUACGGAUCGUAACAGGAAUCCAAGUACUAAUCUCCUCCAGAAACUAGGAAACAAGGCGGUCUGCCUCCGCCGUGCCGUGGGGCUGUGCGCCGCCCACCCAACCGCUGCGCUGCCGCUAGCCCCUGCACUGCCCCGUUCAUCGAGCUGCUGCGCUCCGCCGCCGCCACCAACCGCUCGCCGCGGGGACCUGAACCACCUACCGCGCCGCCUCCGGCCCACGUCGCCGCAGGCCGAGCUGCCAAGCGCCGAUUCCGCCGUGGGGAACUGCGCCGCUUUCAGCCCCCGUCACCGCAGGCCGAGCUGACGCGCCGCGCCUUUGUCGUCGCGGGCCGUGAGCUGCGUGCCGCGCCCUGGAGCACGGUUUGUUGCCGACACGAGGCCGGGACGCGCUCCCGCUUGCUCUGCUCGGCGCGUGACGCAGAAUCGGCCGGACGACCUCCAUUGGAAGGGAAGAGGAAGGGGAGAGGAAAUAAGAAAAGUUUAUUCGUCCCCUUCCACUGACGAGCGGGUCCACAGUGACUUCACGGUGUGCUUCUGGCAAAACUACCCGCAAUGGCACUCAAGGGAUGAAAAAUUGUAAUCAAUGGUAGUGAGGGGAUGGACUAAAUUUGAAUAUGAGUUAAAUUUUGAAUGGCAUACAUAGAAUUUUCUCUAAAAGGAAAGGAAGAGUAUAGAAAAGGAAAAGAAUAUACAAUAAACUCUUUACUUAUUUCUAUUCGCAUCUACAGUCUUAAAAAAACAUCAACAACCAGAUGUAUAUAAAAAAGGAAAUUUUAGAACUUGAUUUUGCUUUCCUUUUUACAAGGAAACAAUAGGGAUGCAAAUGUCCCACCUAAACUAAUUACAUUGGCCGAAUUGACCUUAAGUCAAAAACAAGUUAUAGGGUACAAAUCGCAAAAAGCCACCGGGAGAGGGGAGAGAGAGGUUAGAGCUAACUGUUUUUUUUGGGAGAGCUAAGAGCUUACUGAUUACUCUCCCUCCGUUCCAAAUUCUAGUCAUUCUAACUUUCUUGAGAGUUA